UACGUAGGGGGCAAGCGUUGUCCGGAUUUAUUGGGCGUAAAGAGCGUGUAGGCGGCCAGGUAGGUCUGCUGUGAAAACUCGAGGCUUAACCUCGAGCUGUCGGCGGAAACCAUCUGGCUAGAGUCCGGAAGAGGAGAAUGGAAUUCCCGGUGUAGCGGUGAAAUGCGCAGAUAUCGGGAAGAACACACGUGGCGAAGGCGGUUCUCUGGGACGGUACUGACGCUGAGACGCGAAAGCGUGGGGAGCGAACAGG
rnacentral:rRNA from 1 species